rnacentral:lncRNA from 1 species
CACCAGGUAUUCCCACCCACCAGAAGCUGGCUGUUGUACUCACCCGGAACCAUGGUGCACCACCACAGCGGCGAGGUCAUACAGGCAGCUCUCCGGGCCACUGUUCUCAGGCUACAGAACAAGGAAGAAGGAGCAGUGGUCAAUGACAUCAGUAUCUCGAUGACCUCUACCCUCUCCAUGUGAUGACAAUCUUACUGAAGAGCCAUUUUUUCACCAUGCUAAAAAGGUAUACUGCUGAGAAAGAAUCAAAUGAAAAGAAAAAAGACUCAACAAGACCUCACUCAUAUUAACUGGACUCUACAAGCAGUGAGCAUCCAGACCUGCAUUUGGUUACAAAAGAAGCCUUCAAGCUAUUUUCAUCAGCUUCCUAAUCAAGUUAAAAAAUAAACCACAAAACUGAGUAUCCA